AACAAGUACCGUGAGGGAAAGUUGAAAAGAACUCUGAAUAGAGAGUUAAACAGUACGUGAAACUGCUUAGAGGUUAAGCCCGAUGAACCUGAAUAUCCGUUAUGGAAAAUUCAUCAUUAAAGUUGUAAUAUUUUAACAAUAUUAUAAUAAUAGUGUGCAUUUUUUCCAUAUAAGGACAUUGUAAUCUAUUAGCAUAUAACAAAUUUAUCAUAAAAUAUGACUUAUAGUUUAUUCAAAUUAUUAUGCUUGCAUUUUAACAUAGAAUAAAUGUCAUUAAUUUGAUAAAGUGUUGAUAAAUUAAAAUUAAUACAGUGCGUUAAUUUUUCGAAAUUAUAUAAUGGCAUAAUUAUCAUUGAUUUUUGUGUUUAUUAUAUGCAUUUGUAUGAUUAACAAUGCGAAAGAUUCAGGAUACCUUCGGGACCCGUCUUGAAACACGGACCAAGGAGUCUAACAUAUGUGCAAGUUAUUGGGAGAUAAACCUAAUAGCGUAAUUAACUUGACUAAUAAUGGGAUUAGUUUUUUAACUAUUUAUAGAUAAUUAACACAAUCCCGGGGCGUUCUAUAUAGUUAUGUAUGAUAAUAUUUAUAUUAUUUAUGCCUCUAACUGGAACGUACCUUGAGCAUAUAUGCUGUGACCCGAAAGAUGGUGAACUAUACUUGAUCAGGUUGAAGUCAGGGGAAACCCUGAUGGAAGACCGAAACAGUUCUGACGUGCAAAUCGAUUGUCAGAAUUGAGUAUAGGGCGAAAGACCAAUCGAACCAUCUAGUAGCUGGUUCCUUCCGAAGUUUCCCUCAGGAUAGCUGGUGCAUUUUAAUGUUAUAUAAAAUAAUCUUAUCUGGUAAAGCGAAUGAUUAGAGGCCUUAGGGUCGAAACGAUCUUAACCUAUUCUCAAACUUUAAAUGGGUAAGAACCUUAACUUUCUUGAUAUGAAGUUUAAGGUUAUGAUAUAAUGUGCCCAGUGGGCCACUUUUGGUAAGCAGAACUGGCGCUGUGGAUGAACCAAACGUAAUGUUACGGUGCCCAAAUUAACAACUCAUGCAGAAACCAUGAAAGGCGUUGGUUGCUUAAAACAGCAGGACGGUGAUCAUGGAAGUCGAAAUCCGCUAAGGAGUGUGUAACAACUCACCUGCCGAAGCAACUAGCCCUUAAAAUGGAUGGCGCUUAAGUUGUAUACCUAUACAUUACCGCUAAAGUAGAUGAUUUAUAUUACUUGUGAUAUAAAUUUUGAAACUUUAGUGAGUAGGAAGGUACAAUGGUAUGCGUAGAAGUGUUUGGCGUAAGCCUUCAUGGAGCUGCCAUUGGCACAGAUCUUGGUGGUAGUAGCAAAUAAUCGAAUGAGACCUUGGAGGACUGAAGUGGAGAAGUGGUUUCACGAGUUAGUCGGUCCUAAGUUCAAGGCGAAAGCCGAAAAUUUUCAAGUAAAAAAUCAGUGAGUAAUAUUGUCAAAUCUUUUAUGAUUUUUAAAUACUUGAAUAAUUUUGAACGAAAGGGAAUACGGUUCCAAUUCCGUAACCUGUUGAGUAUCCGUUUGUUAUUAAAUAUGGGCCUCGUGCUCAUCCUGGCAACAGGAACGACCAUAAAGAAGCCGUCGAGAGAUAUCGGAAGAGUUUUCUUUUCUGUUUUAUAGCCGUACUACCAUGGAAGUCUUUCGCAGAGAGAUAUGGUAGAUGGGCUAGAAGAGCAUGACAUAUACUGUUGUGUCGAUAUUUUCUCCUCGGACCUUGAAAAUUUAUGGUGGGGACACGCAAACUUCUCAACAGGCCGUACCAAUAUCCGCAGCUGGUCUCCAAGGUGAAGAGUCUCUAGUCGAUAGAAUAAUGUAGGUAAGGGAAGUCGGCAAAUUAGAUCCGUAACUUCGGGAUAAGGAUUGGCUCUGAAGAUUGAGAUAGUCGGGCUUGAUUGGGAAACAAUAACAUGGUUUAUGUGCUCGUUCUGGGUAAAUAGAGUUUCUAUCAUUUAUGGUAGUUACUUGUUCCCCGGAUAGUUUAGUUACGUAGCCAAUUGUGGAACUUUCUUGCUAAAAUUUUUAAGAAUACUAAUUGGGUUAAACCAGUUAGUUCUUAUUAAUUAUAACGAUUAUCAAUUAACAAUCAAUUCAGAACUGGCACGGACUUGGGAAUCCGACUGUCUAAUUAAAACAAAGCAUUGUGAUGGCCCUAGCGGGUGUUGACACAAUGUGAUUUCUGCCCAGUGCUCUGAAUGUCAAAGUGAAGAAAUUCAAGUAAGCGCGGUCAACGCCGGAGUAACUAUGACUCUCUUAAAAUAUGAAAUAAUAGCGUAGAAGGGGAGUCAUUCCGUAAUUCGUAAAUCGUAAAAAUCAGAUCAAGUUGAUUCAAGACCUCCUCGUGGUAUCUUCUGGAUGCUAUUAGACUGAAGUUCUUUUGGUCUAAUAGUAACUAACUUGAACAGCGAAACAGUCCUAUGGGGUUGCCAGCCCCUUGGACAGUUCAGUUUGAUUGGCACUAAUAUGCAAAAUACAACGCCUCGGAUAAUAAACACUAAUUCGUUGACGAACCAAAUCCCUACGGUCUCUAGCCUAGGGGCCCAAUCUGAACAUAGUGCACAGGUUAACCCAAACAGUGGUUACCAAUGCACGAUAUGUGAAUCGUCUUUCCGUAGCAAAAGCGGACUAGGCGUUCACAUGUCACGUCGGCACAAGGACGAGUUUGAUCAACUUCGUCUGCGUACCGACCGUAAGGCACAAUGGAGUGAGGAAGAGUUGAGUAUGAUGGCAAGAAAAGAGAUCGAGCUCGCAGCAAAUGGAGAAAGAUAUCUAAAUAAGAAGCUAGCGGAAGUAUUUACGAACCGUAGCGUCGACGCUAUCAAGAAAUGUCGACAGAGGGAGAGAUAUAAGACCAAAAUCGAACAGCUAAAGGGUCAAGCUGUUCCUCUCCCAGAAGCAUUAGAAUCUGAAAC
rnacentral:rRNA from 1 species